rnacentral:ncRNA from 1 species
UCUUUUUGGGUCCCAACCCGUAACUGUUUGGAGUUUAAAUUGGGAGUACCCUAUGGGUACGAGGCUUGACCGGAGGCUUGUUUCCGGUACCACGGGUAAUCAGGAGCCCGCGGAACCUUGUUUCCGUCCUGGUUUUUGGUUGCGGCCCUUCGGGGAGUUUCGUGGUGGCUGUGGUUUGACACCCAAAUGCGGGUAGAGCAAUUGACUCGGCGUGUUGUUGCGCUAUACAACAGGGUGCCGUGACCCAUAGAUCGGAAGUCGUUUUAGGUAGGCGGCCCUCCAAACCAAGGUGGAAGUUCACGACCAAACAGUAGUGACUUCAAAUUGGUACCUGCGGAAUAUUAGUUCCAAUGGGGCGGUAAUUGACGCUUAAAUUAAUUCCUGUGCUUAGCACCGUGAGAUUAAGCCAUCCCGGCAGGUGCUCACGUUAAACCAAUUGACUUUAAUUGUCCCUAUCUACUAUCUAGCGAAACCACAGCCAAGGGAACGGGCUUGGAAUAAUUAGCGGGGAAAGAAGACCCUUUUGAGCUUGACUCUAAUCUGGCAGUGUAAGGAGACAUAAGAGGUGUAGAAUAAGUGGGAGAUAUUAGACUUCGGUUUGGUAUCGACAAUGAAAUACCACUAUUCUUAUUGUUUCCUUACUUACUUGAUUAAAUGGAACGUGUAUCAUUUCCUAGCCAUUAUACGGAUGUAUUUAUUAUAUCUUAUGGUAUUGGGUUUUGAUGCAAGCUUCUUGAUCAAAGUAUCACGAGUUUGUUAUAUAAUCGCAAACAAAUUCUUUAAUAAGAAAAUGCAUUUAUGUAUUUUUGAUUUAAAAAUUUGGUAUAACUCCAAUUACUCAGGUAUGAUCCAAUUCAAGGACAUUGCCAGGUAGGGAGUUUGACUGGGGCGGUACAUCUCUCAAAUAAUAACGGAGGUGUCCCAAGGCCAGCUCAGUGCGGACAGAAACCACACAUAGAGCAAAAGGGCAAAUGCUGACUUGAUCUCGGUGUUCAGUACACACAGGGACAGCAAAAGCUCGGCCUAUCGAUCCUUUUGGUUUAAAGAGUUUUUAACAAGAGGUGUCAGAAAAGUUACCAUAGGGAUAACUGGCUUGUGGCGGCCAAGCGUUCAUAGCGACGUCGCUCCAUACCCAUACCCAUCUCCAUCCCCAUCCCUAUCACCUUACCAAUCUCAACCUCCAU